rnacentral:rRNA from 1 species
UACGUAGGGGGCAAGCGUUGUUCGGAAUUACUGGGCGUAAAGGGCGCGUAGGCGGCAUGGCAAGUCGGGAGUGAAAGCCCGGGGCUCAACCCCGGAACUGCUUUCGAAACUGCUAAGCUAGAGUGCGGAAGAGGCAACUGGAAUUCCCAGUGUAGCGGUGAAAUGCGUAGAUAUUGGGAAGAACACCGGAGGCGAAGGCGGGUUGCUGGGCCGACACUGACGCUGAGGCGCGAAAGCCAGGGGAGCGAACGGG